rnacentral:rRNA from 1 species
CGGAGGUACUCGAGUGGCGAACGGGUGAGCAACACGUGGGUGAUCUGCCCUGCACUCUGGGAUAAGCCUGGGAAACUGGGUCUAAUACCGGAUAGGACCGCACUUUAGUGUGUGUGGUGGAAAGUUUUUUCGGUGUAGGAUGAGCCCGCGGCCUAUCAGCUUGUUGGUGGGGUAAUGGCCUACCAAGGCGGCGACGGGUAGCCGGACUGAGAGGUUGGUCGGCCACAUUGGGACUGAGAUACGGCCCAG